GACGAACCGAGCGAACGUUGUUCGGAAUCACUGGGCUUAAAGGGCGCGUAGGCGGGCUGCCGCGUCCGGGGUGAAAUCCCCCGGCUCAACCGGGGAAGUGGCACCGAUACGAGCGGCCUCGAGGGGGGGUAGGGGGGUCUGGAACUUCCGGUGGAGCGGUGAAAUGCGUUGAGAUCGGAAGGAACGCCCGUGGCGAAAGCGAGGCCCUGGACCCUUACUGACGCUGAGACGCGAAAGCCAGGGGAGCGAACGGG
rnacentral:rRNA from 1 species